AUUAUAAGAUGAGUCGGGAAAGUUUUUUCGCUAAAGGAUUGGGCUAUAUGGUAUCAGCUUGUUGGUGAGGUAACGGCUCACCAAGACUAUGACGCCUAACUGGUCUGAGAGGAUGAUCAGUCACACUGGAACUGAGACACGGUCCAGACUCCUACGGGAGGCAGCAGUGGGGAAUAUUACACAAUGGAGGAAACUCUGAUGUAGCAACGCCGCGUGGAGGAUGACACAUUUCGGUGCGUAAACUCCUUUUAUAUGGGAAGAUAAUGACGGUACCAUAUGAAUAAGCACCGGCUAACUCCGUGCCAGCAGCCGCGGUAAUACGGAGGGUGCAAGCGUUACUCGGAAUCACUGGGCGUAAAGGGAGCGUAGGCGUUCUAUUAAGUCUCGAGUGAAAUCCCGCAGCCUAACUGCGGAACUGCUCGGGAAACUGAUAGAAUAGAGUAUGGAAGAGGUAGGUGGAAUUUCCAGUGUAGGGGUAAAAUCCGUAGAUAUUGGAAGGAAUACCAGAAGCGA
rnacentral:rRNA from 1 species